rnacentral:lncRNA from 1 species
GUAAAGUUUUUCCUUUCAUUUAUAUAAAGAAAGUUUCCCCAAUCCUUACUUGUUUUCCAUAUAUUACUUACUUCAAAAUUCUCUUCUCAACGUGGGUAUAAUUUAGCCUCAUUGGUUAAAUUAUUUGUGGGCGUAGAAAGGCUGACUUAACGUUUUCUCGUGAGGUGCGGGAAUUGUAGAGCGUUAAGGCCGCACGGCUCUAGUUUGUUCGGGUGUAACGAAACUAGGCCCGUGACAAGUGGUAUCAGAGCGAGGUUCACGUGGGGUUGAACCAAUUUUUCAUCUCAGAGGUGAGGUGACGUCCGUGUAAGGUUCACGUGGUGUGGACUACGGAGGCAGUUCAAGGCGAAGGUUUGGUUGUGGUAACCAAGUGCGGCUGUAGUAGCCAGAUUCGCCGGAGAUUCUUGGAAGCUAGAUUUGGGUGAGGUGCUCAAAUGGCGGAAUCUCAAGAAACUGUUGAUGUUGAGAUUGAGGAGAGGGGCCGAGGUGCUGCCCAAACUGAAGUAAGGAAAACUAGA